rnacentral:rRNA from 1 species
AGUGAACGCUGGCGGUAGGCCUAACACAUGCAAGUCGAGCGGCAGCACAGUAAGAGCUUGCUCUUACGGGUGGCGAGUGGCGGACGGGUGAGGAAUACAUCGGAAUCUACUUUUUCGUGGGGGAUAACGUAGGGAAACGUACGCUAAUACCGCAUACGACCUACGGGUGAAAGCAGGGGAUCUUCGGACCUUUCGCGAUUGUAUGAGCCGAUGUCGGAUUAGCUAGUUGGCGGGGUAAAGGCCCACCAAGGCGACGAUCCGUAGCUGGUCUGAGAGGAUGAUCAGCCACACUGGAACUGAGACACGGUCCAGACUCCUACGGGAGGCAGCAGUGGGGAAUAUUGGACAAAGGGCGCAAGCCUGAUCCAGCCAUACCGCGUGGGUGAAGAAGGCCUUCGGGUUGUAAAGCCCUUUUGUUGGGAAAGAAAAGCAGCAGGUUAAUACCCCGCUGUUCUGACGGUACCCAAAGAAUAAGCACCGGCUAACUUCGUG